GUCGCAAAGAGUCAGACAUGACUAAAUCACUGAACUACAACAACAACAACAAAAACAAAAAUCAUGAGUCCCGCUUGGUGCUCCUUGCCUGCCACCUGUGCGCCCAGUCCUCCCGGUCCGCACUGCCCACCAGCCAGCCGGUCCCCCACCACAACCACAGAUGCCAUCAAGAAGAAGAUGCAGAUGUUAAAACUGGACAAGGAGAAUGCCUUCGACCGCGCAGAGCAGGCCAAGGCCGACAAGAAGCAAGCUGAGGACCGCUACAAGCAGCUAGAAGAGGAGCAGCAGGCCCUCCAGAGAAAGUUCAAAGGGAUGGAGGACGAGGUGGAAAGUAUUCUGAGUCACUGAAGGAUGCCCAGGAGAAGCUGGAGCAGGCUGAGAAGAAAGCCACUGACGCUGAGGCAGAUGUGUACUCCCUGAACCGCCGCAUUCAGCUGGUAGAGGAGGAGCUGGAUCGGGUGCAGGAGCAUCUGGCUACAGCCCUGCAGAAGCUGGAGGAGGCUGAGAAGGCAGCUGAUGAGAGGGAGAGAGGAAUGAAGGUCAUCAAAAACCGAGCUAUGAAGGAUGAGGAAAAGAUGGAGCUGCAGGAGAUGCAGCUGAAGGAGACCAAGCACAUUACUGAGGACUCACACCGCAAAUAUGAGGAGGUGGCCAGGAAGCUGGUGAUCCUGGAAGGAGAGCUGGAGCACUCCGAAGAGAGAGCUGAGGUGGCUGAGAGCUGAGCCAGGUGGCUGGAGGAGGAACUUCGAACCAUGGAUCAGGCCCUCAAGUCCCUGAUGGCCUCAGAGGAGGAGUAUUCCACCAAAGAAGAUAAAUAUGAAGAGGAGAUCAAACUGCUGGAGAAGCCAAAGGAGGCUGAGACCUGAGCAGAGUUUGCUGACAGGUUGGUGGCACAGUUGGAGAAAACCAUCGAUGACCUGGAAGAGACCUUGGCCAGUGCCAAGGAGAACGUGAAGAUCCCCCAGACCCUUGACCAGACACUGCUGGAGCUCAACAACCUCUGAGGGCUGGCCCUGCCCCCAGCCAGGAUAGCUGCCACCCCAACCAAUAAAACUGAUGUUACCAGCAAAA